GUGAGAGUGAUGAUUCAGAGGAUGAAAUUGAUGAGUUUUGGGAUAUAAUUUUGAGUGGUGCUAGAGUGGCAGAAAAAUAUGUCGAGCUUUACCUAGACAAAAAUCCGAAAAGGAUAGCUGAUCAAAGUGGGAUGGGAUGGUUACAAUAUGUUUUGAGGACUCCAGGUGAAUGCCAUUCUCAAUUACGCAUGAGCACAGAAAUUUUUAUGGACCUUCAUGAUAUAUUGGUGUCAAGUGGGCCAACCGGGAUCCGUGCAUGACACGACUGUGUUAUACAAUGCAAUGAAGGUGGACCAGCAGUUCUUCCCUCAUCCUCCACAAAAUAAAUACUAUGUUGUUGAUGCGGGAUACCCUAAUAGAGUUGGAUACCUAGCACCGUAUAAGGGCGAGAGGUACCAUUUACCGGAAUGGCAUAGAGGUAUGGAGCCAAAAUCUGCUAAGGAAAAGUUCAAUCGUAUUCAUGCACGUGUUCGUAGCGUUGUUGAGAGGUCAUUUGGGGUCCUAAAGAUGAAGUGGCGAAAUUCUAUAUAAAAUGGCAAUCUAUCCAUUGUGGAAGCAAAAGAUGAUAGUUGUGGCGUGCAUGGUAAUCCAUAACUUUAUUCGUGAGCAUAAUGCUGGUGAUUUGGACUUUGAACGUGUGGAACGUGAUGAAAAUUAUGUGCCUACAAUACCAGAAAGGUAUAACAAGUAUGUAGUUCCCUCCGAUGGAUCGACUUCAUUACCUAAUGCGCCCACUAUGGAUGAUUUCCGUGAUGAAUUAGCGACCGCUAUUGCUAGAGGUUGGAACUAGUGUAUGUGGUAAUGUUAGUAUUUGAUGGACACUUGAAUGGAUAUGUAAUGGUGUUAUACCUU